UCACAUAAAACUUAGCACACGUACAUGAAGUUCAAAUUAGCACACAACAUAGGAAACCAUAUACAACAAACGUUGAAAAACAUAAAUGUUAAACGUUGAAAAAUGUAACACAGCCUACACGUUCUGACGACGAUUUCCACUUAUAAUUGUUGGACGCCUGGUUAUCCUUUGCGUUGUUGGGCAACUCCUUCGGUUAUGGCCCAAGGUGUGGCAUACGGGGCACACCAUCUGUGAUGUCGGGGUGCCCAUCUUGGUUGCAAGCAGUAUAAUGCGGCUCUAUGUCUUCAGUCCAAACCAUUUCGUUGUGGAUUCUAGUGUGCUUUGGCCUCCCCUCGACACGGUGAAGAUUACGGUUCGGGAUGAUCUCAGGUCUACCAUGUUGAGCCAAGUCCUCCGUGCCAUCAAUAAGGCGGAAACUAACAACAUAUAUCUUGGCUAUUGUGGACAGCCUAAACAUGGGAUGCACGAAGUGGUACGGGUUGAGGUUGACCGUGUUGCACACUACGUAAGCAUGGCUACACGGAAUAUUCAAGUGCUGGAAGAUGCCACAAGAACAUGAACCAGCCGUGUUUGUGUGAUCUAGGUAGACC
rnacentral:lncRNA from 1 species